CGCAACGAGCGCAACCCUUGUCCGCUGUUGCCAUCACGUUAUGGUGGGCACUCUGCGGAGACUGCCGGUGAUAAACCGGAGGAAGGUGGGGAUGACGUCAAGUCAGCAUGGCCUUUAUGUCUGGGGCUACACACGUGCUACAAUGGCCGGUACAAACCGUCGCAAAACCGUAAGGUCGAGCUAAUCGGAGAAAGCCGGUCUCAGUUCGGAUUGUAGGCUGCAAAGAGAGCUGAAUGAAGUUGGAAUCGCUAGUAAUCGCGGAUCAGCACGCCGCGGUGAAUACGUUCCCGGGCC
rnacentral:rRNA from 1 species